UACGUAGGGUGCAAGCGUUGUCCGGAAUUAUUGGGCGUAAAGAGCUCGUAGGCGGUUUGUCGCGUCGAAUGUGAAAACCCGGGGCUCAACCCCGGGCCUGCAUUCGAUACGGGUAGACUAGAGUUCGGUAGGGGAGUCUGGAAUUCCUGGUGUAGCGGUGAAAUGCGCAGAUAUCAGGAGGAACACCGGUGGCGAAGGCGGGACUCUGGGCCGAUACUGACGCUGAGGAGCGAAAGCGUGGGGAGCAAACAGG
rnacentral:rRNA from 1 species